rnacentral:rRNA from 1 species
AACGAACGCUGGCGGCAUGCCUAACACAUGCAAGUCGAACGAGACCUUCGGGUCUAGUGGCGCACGGGUGCGUAACGCGUGGGAACCUGCCCUUAGGUUCGGAAUAACUCCCCGAAAGGGGUGCUAAUACCGGAUAAUGUCUUCGGACCAAAGAUUUAUCGCCUUUGGAUGGGCCCGCGUUGGAUUAGCUAGUUGGUAGGGUAAAAGCCUACCACGGCGACGAUCCAUAGCUGGUCUGAGAGGAUGAUCAGCCACACUGGGACUGAGACACGGCCCAGACUCCUACGGGAGGCAGCAGUGGGGAAUAUUGGACAGUGGGCGAAAGCCUGAUCCAGCAAUGACGCGUGAGUGAUGAAGGCCUUAGGGUUGUAAAGCUCUUUUAACCGGGAUGAUAAUGACAGUACCGGGAGAAUAAGCUCCGGCUAACUCCGUG